GUGCUCACUUCAACAGUACAUAUAUUAAAAUUUGAAUGAUACAGAGAAGAUCAGCAUGGCCCUCGAACAAGUAUGCCAUGCAAAUUCAUGAAGCAUUCCAUACUUUC